UGGGGAAUAUUGCACAAUGGGCGCAAGCCUGAUGCAGCAACGCCGCGUGAGGGACGACGGCCUUCGGGUUGUAAACCUCUUUUGGCAGGGAAGAAGCGAAAGUGACGGUACCUGCAGAAAAAGCACCGGCUAACUACGUGCCAGCAGCCGCGGUGAUACGUAGGGUGCAAGCGUUGUCCGGCAUUAUUGGGCGUAAAGAGCUCGUAGGCGGUUUGUCGCGUCUGCUGUGAAAACCCGAGGCUCAACCUCGGGCCUGCAGUGGGUACGGGCAAACUAGAGUGCGGUAGGGGCGAUUGGAAUUCCUGGUGUAGCGGUGGAAUGCGCAGAUAUCAGGAGGAACACCGAUGGCGAAGGCAGAUCUCUGGGCCGUAACUGACGCUGAGGAGCGAAAGCAUGGGGAGCGAAC
rnacentral:rRNA from 1 species